AUGGAGGGCUAGCGUCUCUGGUGAUCGCCGUGGGCUUCAAACCCAUUGAAGGGUUAGGUGUCUAAUCCUUGGGGAGUUCGAUUCUCUCGCCUUCUUGCCA
rnacentral:tRNA from 1 species